AAAAAGGAUAAACUUGGUUUCCGUGUCCAACAUUUGACCAUUUAUUUUAUUUAAAAAAAUUAUCAAAAAAUUAAAAAGACAAGUAAAGUAUAAAAUAUUAAUUAUGUUUUAUCAUCUAACAAAAUAAAAAUAUGAAUUAUAAAAAAAUUUUAUAUAAGACAGACAGUCAAAGUUGGAUACGGAAACUCAGGGUUUGUCUUUUU
rnacentral:pre_miRNA from 1 species